AAUAAGAUCAUUUUUCAGUUUUUAGAUACAAUGUUUUGACUUUUCGUCUUAUUUGAAUUUUUUUGUGAUUAAAUUUUUAUUAUUACUAGAUGAUAAAAUAUGAAUAGUACUUUAUGCGUGACUAAUUUUUUUAAGUUUUGGUACAAAUUUUUCAAAUAAGACGAAUGGUCAAAGCAUUAGGCAUAGAAAUCGAAAAAUGACGUUAUU
rnacentral:pre_miRNA from 1 species